GCGUGCCUAACACAUGCAAGUCGAGCGAAGCGCUGUUUUCAGAAUCUUCGGAGGAAGAGGACAGCGACUGAGCGGCGGACGGGUGAGUAACGCGUGGGCAACCUGCCUCAUACAGGGGGAUAACAGUUAGAAAUGACUGCUAAUACCGCAUAAGCGCACAGGACCGCAUGGUGUAGUGUGAAAAACUCCGGUGGUAUGAGAUGGACCCGCGUCUGAUUAGGUAGUUGGUGGGGUAAAGGCCUACCAAGCCGACGAUCAGUAGCCGACCUGAGAGGGUGACCGGCCACAUUGGGACUGAGACACGGCCCAAACUCCUACGGGAGGCAGCAGUGGGGAAUAUUGCACAAUGGGGGAAACCCUGAUGCAGCGACGCCGCGUGAAGGAAGAAGUAUUUCGGUAUGUAAACUUCUAUCAGCAGGGAAGAAAAUGACGGUACCUGAGUAAGAAGCACCGGCUAAAUACGUGCCAGCAGCCGCGGUAAUACGUAUGGUGCAAGCGUUAUCCGGAUUUACUGGGUGUAAAGGGAGCGUAGACGGAUAGGCAAGUCUGGAGUGAAAACCCAGGGCUCAACCCUGGGACUGCUUUGGAAACUGCAGAUCUGGAGUGCCGGAGAGGUAAGCGGAAUUCCUAGUGUAGCGGUGAAAUGCGUAGAUAUUAGGAGGAACACCAGUGGCGAAGGCGGCUUACUGGA
rnacentral:rRNA from 1 species